CAGCCGCCGCGGUAAUACGGAGGGGGCUAGCGUUGUUCGGAAUUACUGGGCGUAAAGCGCACGUAGGCGGCUUGGUAAGUUAGAGGUGAAAGCCUGGAGCUCAACUCCAGAAUUGCCUUUAAGACUGCCGAGCUAGCAGGUGAGAGAGGUAAGUGGAAUUCCGAGUGUAGAGGUGAAAUUCGUAGAUAUUCGGAAGAACACCAGUGGUGAAGGCGGCUUACUGGCUCAUACUGGACGCUGAGGUGCGAAAGCGUGGGGAGCAAACAGGAUUAGAUACCCGUGUAGUCCCUGUCUCUUAUAA
rnacentral:rRNA from 1 species